GGAGGGGUGGCCGAGUGGUUUAAGGCGGCGGUUUGCUAAACCGCUGUAGGGUCGAAAGGCUCUACCUGGGGUUCAAAUCCCCACCCCUCCGCCA
rnacentral:tRNA from 2 species